rnacentral:rRNA from 1 species
AUUAGCUAGUUGGUGAGGUAACGGCUCACCAAGGCGACGAUCAGUAGCCGACCUGAGAGGGUAAUCGGCCACAUUGGAACUGAGACACGGUCCAAACUCCUACGGGAGGCAGCAGUGGGGAAUAUUGCACAAUGGGCGAAAGCCUGAUGCAGCAACGCCGCGUGAGCGAUGAAGGCCUUUGGGUCGUAAAGCUCUGUCCUUGGGGAAGAAACAAAUGACGGUACCCUUGGAGGAAGCCCCGGCUAACUACGUGCCAGCAGCCGCGGUAAUACGUAGGGGGCGAGCGUUAUCCGGAAUUAUUGGGCGUAAAGAGUGCGUAGGUGGCCAUGUAAGCGCGGGGUGAAAGGCAAUAGCUUAACUAUUGUAAGCCUUGCGAACUGUGUGGCUUGAGUGCAGGAGAGGAAAGUGGAAUUCCUAGUGUAGCGGUGAAAUGCGUAGAUAUUAGGAGGAACACCAGUGGCGAAGGCGACUUUCUGGACUGUAACUGACACUGAGGCACGAAAGCGUGGGGAGCAAACAGGAUUAGAUACCCUGGUAGUCCACGCCGUAAAC